rnacentral:sRNA from 1 species
GCCGGGCAUGGUGGUUCUUGCCUGUAAUUCCAGCGGCUCCGGAGGCUGAGACAGGAGGAUAGCCAGUUUCAGCAAAACCAAGGCACUAAGCAAUUCAGUGAGACCCUGUCUCUA